UUUGAGUUUUGUCUAUAAUUCUACUUAAAGCUAAUGCUUUCAAUAUCCAUUUUUUAAAAAAAUUGAGCUGUUAGCAAUCUCUCUUCAUUUGUCAUUUUAAAUUACAAAGCUUUCAAAUUUCUUUUUUGAUUGUUAUUUUUCCCUUAUCUCAACAUAUAUAAUAUUCUAUUAUAGUUCAGAUAUUUCAAUAUUAUAUCUUUAUGGUUUUUUUAGGGGCAGUUUUGUUGGUUUUGGCAUUUAUUUGUUUCUAUGAUCAUACCAAAAUUCAUAGCUUUUGAAACCAUUUUUUUCAAUUUUUUUUAUUUUUUAUUCUCCAUUUAUUAUAAUGUAAUUGCAAUUUGCAAAUGUUUGAAGUUCUUUGUUUCUUUCUUUUUCAUAUAUCCACCUUCAAGGCUUCCAAUAUCAGAUUUCAUCUUUCUAUUUCUUAUUCUUUCUUGCAAUUGCAGAUGAGCUUUGGUAUUGCCAAAGCUAUGAAAUGGUGGGAAAAAGGGGCUUCAACCCAAUAUGAAAGAGAUCGAAUCUGCACAAGCUCUCGUCGAUUCCUUAUUAAAUGCAGGAAACAAACUUGUUGUUAUAGAUUUCUUCUCUCCAAACUGAUGAAGAGAUCCAAUGCUGAGAAGUCUACAGCUAGGGAAGAUGAUGGAAUUGAAAGGUUUGUUGAGUUGAAUGAUGAUAUAGAUUUUGGAUCGAGGCAAAGCCCUUCUUCCUUUGUGAGUGAGAUAGUCUUUAGUUAUUUAUUUUCAUUCUUAUUUUUGCAUGAUUUUCCUUUUCAACUGUUAGUCAUAGAGUGACAGUACUUAUUUCAAUUUUCUUAGAUGGAUGAUGAAUGUAUUUGCAAAUGUAAAUGAAAAUAAAAAAAUUAUAAUAUAUAUAUAUGUUAUCAAUGGAGGAUACCUUGUUUAGGGGG